UUAAGAAAUUAAAGUUUAAUUUUACAUUGAAAAUGUAAUGUUUUUUUUGAACUACAUAAAUUAGAAAU
rnacentral:tRNA from 1 species